GAAAGCCGUGUACGGAAAAACCGUCCGCACGGUUUGAUGAGGAGACGGAGGUUGAAAGACCUCUGUUUUACUCUAC
rnacentral:ncRNA from 1 species